CUGAUUCUGGUUUCAAUCCAUACUAGUCUUUCUAUAUGUACAGAUAAUGUAGAAAACCUGGUAUGGAUUGUUACCAGGUUCAG
rnacentral:pre_miRNA from 1 species